rnacentral:rRNA from 1 species
UACGGAGGAUGCAAGCGUUAUCCGGAAUGAUUGGGCGUAAAGCGUCCGCAGGUGGCUGUGUAAGUCUGCUGUUAAAGAGCAAAGCUCAACUUUGUAAGAGCAGUGGAAACUACACGGCUAGAGUGCGUUCGGGGCAGAGGGAAUUCCUGGUGUAGCGGUGAAAUGCGUAGAGAUCAGGAAGAACACCGGUGGCGAAGGCGCUCUGCUAGGCCGCAACUGACACUGAGGGACGAAAGCUAGGGGAGCGAAUGGG